rnacentral:rRNA from 1 species
CGUGGGCAACCUGUCCUAUCGCGGGGGAUAACAACGGGAAACCGCUGCUAAUACCGCAUGUCGUCACCGGUCGCAUGGCCGGUGAAGAAAGCAGCAAUGCACGAUGGGGUGGGCCCGCGGCCUAUCAGCUAGUCGGUGGGGUAACGGCCUACCGAGGCGAUGACGGGUAGCUGGUCUGAGAGGACGAUCAGCCACACUGGGACUGAGACACGGCCCAG